GACGAACGCUGGCGGCGUGCUUAACACAUGCAAGUCGAACGAAGUGGCGAACGGGUGAGUAACGCGUAAUCAACCUGCCCUUCAGAGGGGGACAACAGUUGGAAACGACUGCUAAUACCGCAUACUGAAGUAGGGGAUUGCGUCUGAUUAGCUGGUUGGGGGGGUAACGGCCCACCAAGGCGGUGAUAAGUAGCCGGUCUGAGAGGAUGAACGGCCACAUUGGGAAUGAGACAAGGCCCAGGCCCCUACGGGAGGCAGCAGGGGGGAAUCUUCCGCAAUGGACGAAAGUCUGAAGGAGCAAAGCCGCGGGUAUGAAGAAGGCCUUCGGGUUGUAAAGCUCUGUUAAUCGGGACGCGGUACCGGAAGAGAAAGCCACGGCUAACUACGUGCCAGCAGCCGCGGUAAUAC
rnacentral:rRNA from 1 species